GAGAGAGAGAGGAAGAAGAAAGGAGAAAGAGAGGGAGUUAGGCUCGGAUCUAGGAGUCUUUGUGACCGUUGCGAGCUCGGCUACACGAUAGAAAAUUGUUGGUGGAACUUAUUGAGAAGUAAGGAACAAGCCGAGCCCUAUUUUGUACAAGGGGAACCCUUUUAGUACCAAAGGGUUGAGGUCCAGGCGAAGGAUCCAGUGGUGGACGGGGAAAAGAGCAAAGCUAGGGGUUUGCUUGUGAUUUGUAAAGAACUGCAACCCCUUUCUUUUGAGCAAAUAUAUUGUAAUGUAUUUAAGAUUAGGGUGCCAGUAGGAUAUGAUUAUGUGUGUGUGUGUGUGAAUAUGUGUGGAUUGUGUGCUUGUGUAUGAAUUUUUGUCUGUUUGCAGACUUGUGGCUAGGAAACUUGGUUAUGGUGUGUGGUUUUGAUGGAUUUACUUAGUAGACCAAGUUUCUAUUACAAGCAGAUCUUUAUUUUGAUAUA